GUUUACUGGAGGCUUAGCCAAAGCUUUUCCCUUCUCAGUUUUCAGUGCCCCAGAUUCCCAAGACAGAUGAGCAGGAGGAAGGAAUCCAAACUUCUAGAAACAGCUCAUCUUCCCUUGUGCUUGCAGCACUGGGUGCUUGGUGUGGGCUGGUGGCGUGUGUGUGUGUGUGUGUGUGUGUGUGUGUGCAGGAAUAUGCAGACCUCAGGGUUUCUAAGUGCCCGGCCAUGGUCUGGUCUUGAUUAGGCAGGCGGAGGGAAGUGGGUCCACAGCAGCGAUCAGAGCUGCUGCAUCCAGCUGUGAGGCUGCAGAGCCAGAAACGCGUGCGACCUGAAAGGGAACACAUUUCUAGAGGGCCUCGGGCCAAGGUGGAGGUGAUGAGGGCAGGAUGUGGAGGCCAGCGGAGGACAAGUGCUGACUGGCAUGGGGAUGCUACGGGUGGGGGGACGGUCAGGAAUUAGCAGCUGAUUUCAAGCGUUGGGAGGAGGUGCGGAGACAAGGAGGCAGCGGCUGGGGUGAUUCCAGAGUAAUUAGGGUGGAAAAUUCUGGAGCAUCCUCGUUGCUUCCCUCAGGACAGAGGCUGCGCUUUUCUCAGCUCUGUCCUGGCAGCGGCUGGCGGAGCAUGUGUGGGCUUCAUUGAAUACGCUGCCCGAGUGUCUUGCAGCUUUUCCCAGGCAUCUUCUGUGUCUCCCUGUCGCCACGGCUGCAACUUCGACAACUGAGUUCUCUUGCUCUGGCUGCAUUUCAGGACAAGAGCAUGCCUGCCUGAGGUGCCUAGAAUCCUGGCUGGACCCCAAACACUGCAGAUUACUUGGUUUCUGUCCAAGGACAGCCCCAAUGGCCUGGACAGGCCUUUUUUCAUCGAGAACAUGGAGUAAACCCGUGGAGAAACCCCAAACUCCGAGACCAGAUCUGGAAAGAACUUUCUUGGCCCAAACACACCCUUGGAUCAUCUCCAUUUCAUCCUCACGGCGUCAGCGUCCUUAUUUCCUUGUCUGUAAACGGAAGCAAAGUUGGACAGAGGUGUCUGUGACCUUGGACCCAGGGCGAUUUGGCCUCUAUUCCAGGAACUGCAGCUCUCUCUCCAGGAGGUGAAGGGAAGCAGUUCCUGCCAGGGGAGCCUCACUCUUUCCGCUGCUGCUCUGUCGGCCGUCUCGGCAGCCCUCCCAGCCGGGCUCUCUGGGCUGCUCCGUGCUCUGCUGCCCGGUUCCUGUUGGGGUGAGAUUUGGCUCCGUGUCUCCCUCCGCCCGUUCAUCUUCACUUGAGUUUGUUGCUCUAAAGAUCCAUCUUGAAACAUUCAGGAAGGGAAGGAGGAGUUCAUCCGUGUCCCAGCCGGCACGCUUCCAGGACUGCCAUCCCGUCAACCUGGCCAACUUGGAGGUCAAGACCUAGACCCUGGGAGGAAGAGGCCUUGAACAUUUUUUUUGCUUCUCACUAUGUCUCUGUCCUCGCCUCCACAGUUGCCCAGAGUGGCAGUACUGUUAUAAGAGCAAUGUUACUGAGCAGAUGACCCAGAGGACAGGAACGCCUCCUGUGGCCUGCAGAGCUGGGGGCGCCUUUGAGCCCAUGCUGUUUGCAGCUACCACUGUCCCAAGGCCACAUGCCUCCAGCCUGGCCACUGUGUGGAGUCCUCUUCCUGGAGCUGGAGGAUUUCUGUCGGGGACUAGUGGAUUUCUCCCAGACCCAGCAACGUCAUUGGCAAGUCCCUGGGCAUCCAGGCAUCCAUGAAGUUCUUAAGAUUAGCUUUGGAGGCAGCUUCCUUAGUCUCGGGACCCACACUGCUCUGACUCUUCUGUGUUUGGUAAGGUGGUAAGUGCUGCUGGUCGUUAACUGUCCCCUGCUCUUUCCUGUAUUUCUGAUUUGGGGCACUUUGGAUAGAGGAGGGGUUCUAACAGAGGCAAGUGUGGUUGGAAGAAGAAGCAUAGCUUAGGCUGUAGAGAACUUUUUUUUUUCUUUCUUUUUUGGUCUUUUUGUCUUUUUCAGGGCCACACCUGCAGCAUAUGAAGGUUCCCAGGCUGGGGUCGAAUUGGAGCUGUAGCCACCAGCCUACACCACAGCCACAGCAACGCGGGAUCUAAACUGAAUCUGUGACCUG
rnacentral:lncRNA from 1 species